AUACCUCCCUCCGUGAAGAUCUCUCGUUUCCUUCCCCAGGAAGGUUUCCAACACAAGCGACCCCCGCCCCUUUCCUGCUGCUCCGCCGCCGCCUAUUUCUCUGCCAAAUCCACCCCGCGCCGCUGCCCGUGUCCGUGCCCUCUUCAUCUCCGGUCCCGCGCUCCAUCUCCUCCAGCCUCAUAUCCCCCGAUCUUCUCGAUUUGGAUCUCGGGAGCGCACGGGAGGGAGGCGAGGUGCCUGUUGCUGGGAGAGGGGCGAUGAGGAGUAUCGGCCCUUGGAUCUUUCCGUCUCGCGAGGCCAGGCCUCCCGUCCGUGGCGCGACGCCGCCGGCAUGGAGGCCCCGGCUCGGGCAGCCGCCGCAGUGUCGGGUGCGCCGGUGAGGUCUCGGGUACGCGCGAUGGGCGUGACCUCUCCUGGCUCCCCGCCCUCGUCCGCGACAACAAGGACCAAGAUGCAUUUACGGUGUUGUCUGGUGCGCCGUCAGGUUUGGUUGGUCGAGGCCAGGUAUGUUCCUGAGGCUGUUUGAUGGAUGGAUGUGUGCACGUAUGUAUGUACUCCCUCCGUUCCUGAAUAUUUGUCUUUCUAGACAUUUCAACAAGUGACUACACACGGAGCAAAAUGAGUGAAUCUACACUCUAAAAUAUGUCUACAUACAUCCGUAUGUGGUAGUCAUUUGAAAUGUCUAGAAAGACAAAUAUUUAGGAACGGAGAGAGUAUGUAGUAUGUACGUAUGGAUAUCUGGGUCAUGUUGCUGGGUGGGCAAAGACGGGGGUCCAACCUCCUUUUCAGUUAAAAAUGAGGGGCGAUGAUGACGACUCUGGCUGAAAUAAGCAUGUCUUGAGCAAUCAAGAUUGUUGUGGCCUGGGUACUAAAUUAGAGCCCACCUUUACCUCUUGCAGCCUGUUCAAUUCAUCGAAAAUGUUGGAUGUUCUGCGCCUCGGCUGGUCAUUCUGACGAGUGAUAACCAGGGCAGUUCGUUUACAUUGCGAUAGGUAUGUUAUGCAGCAAGAGAUCUAAGUGUUGGGCUUGAAGAUCAAAGACGGAACUGAGCCCUCUUUUGCUAUGCUACAAAUACACAAAUUUUCCUUAUCUACUAUACAGUGUUCUUCUUUCAGUUCUAUUUCUCUAUUCUGUUGAUGUGAGUGAAGAUCUAUCUGAACUUGGGAUUUAUGUCUUCUUUUGGUGAUGAACUCAACCACCCUAAGCCUACAUGGAUUGAUCUAUAGUUGGGUUUGUUUUGCCUUUCUAGUUGUAUAUACUAUAUGUAUUACACGACUGUCAUUUUUCUCCAAUGCCUGUAGCUACUGGCAGUUUUAUUCCUGUGGUUAACAACAUACUGUUGUCCUGUUUGUCUUGUUAGUAAGCAUGUUAGCUUUUGCCAGAUGCUUCUUCAAAGACGAACUUCGAUCCUCCACGGGAUUGCAAAGAGUUGUCAUUAACACAGAUUGCCUAAAUGUGCUAUCUAUUUUGGUCAGAGCAGACCCUUUGUUAUGAUCCUCUUUGCUAUUUAGUUCACUGGUCAUCAAUCUCUUUUUAAGUUGCUGCUGUCAAUAUUAACUGCCACAUUGAUUAUUAGAAUCACAUGAUGCAUUAGUGCGGUACAGAUCCCUCACAGGUUGUUUAAAAUGAGAGUGUCAAGUAAAUUUAUCAGCUGGAAAUUUUUUUGGGUUAAAAAUGUUCUUAUAUUUUUUCUAAUCAUGAAUGAAAGUCCUCUUGGAGCUUUUGCUUGGGCCAUUUGGGAUUUGUAUGUUGCCAUUUCCCCCCUUCACAUUAUAUGUUUUAAAAUUUAUUUAGUGGUCUUGCUUUGGUUUUUGUUUUCAUUUUGCCAAAGAUUGCACUAUGGAAACCAUCCUCUGUCUCUCUAUCAAUACCACUGUCUUUGUCACCAUCUUCGAACAUCACGGCAUUAAUUCGAUUUGAUACCUCAUAUUCUUUACUUCACACUCUUAGUAAUUCCUUAUUCGUAAAUAUUGUUUCUAAAGUUGCAUAUCUCUGUGAUCAUAGACAUCCGAUGGUUCCACAUUUUCUUGGUAAGUGUAGUCAAUCAAAAGAACAAAAUGCACUAAAUUACUAGAGGCCUUCCUAUUUAUACAUUAUAUCUAUGGUAUUGAUUAUCUAUGCUUUAUGCUCUGCCCAUGGCCGGGCGGUUUCAGUGAUUCUCCUCUGUUGCAGCAAGCCAUCACUACAACUUUAUGAUUAUGAUGUAUAUAUAUGCGCAAAUAUGUUUCUGUUUUUACAUUGAUAAAACAUGUGUUUAGUUGUACUGGCCAAGAAUAGUUCUAUGAUUCAUGCUUAUAGUUUACUGUAACUACUUCUACUGAUGGCUUAUAUUUUUAUAGACUCUGACGAUAAUUGUGAGCUGAGCCUUAUGGGAGGCCACUCACUAGAUAAAUAUAAUGGAUUGGGGUGCCCCAUUGAGUAGCUUCUGAAACGGGCCUUACUCUUUGGUUUCUACUUCCACGGCAGCAUGGUGUAGGAUGCAGCAUGACACUGUGUAAGGUACUGAUGGUCUCUGAGGAGUUCAGAGUACUACGUGAAUUGCUCAAGGGUCACACCACAACGACUGCUAGAGCAGGCUUCACCUCAGGCGCUCUCCCUAACUCUUUUACAUGUUGAUGACCACUUCACACACCAAUGCAUGAGUCAAAUGGCUGGUAACAAAUUCCCACGUUUAAUUAGCCUUUGCUUCUCCAUUUUCAACCCCCCUGGAAGUGUUUCGUUCCUUGACCUCCUCUUACUGAGUACUUAAAGGCUUGGAUAUGUCUCUUGUGAUGCAGUUGUAUAUUGCGGAGUCUUUCUCCAUCACCACAUCGGCUAUCUCGGCUUUUUCUUACCCUUUUAUCCUUUACUAAAUAGCCCACAUUUCAUACUCCGAUUGCACUUUUCUACUUGUACCCUCUGAUGCAUUACAUUUUUCUGGAAAGUUUUAGGAUCUUUGAAUUCUGCAGGCAUCCUCCUUAACUAAUUUCUGCACCAUAGUAUAAAGUACAACAAGUCCUCUCAUAUUCAAUUUUCUGCUCACUAACAAAGACAGAGAUUAAGCUAACCUAUUCAGACACCCACAUGUUCUAAGUUGCCUACUUUCUCUUACCACAUGACUGCAAUUCUUCAAACUAUGUUGCUUUUUAAUCAUCAGAGUUUUAAUAAUUUCCAGUUCUGCCAGCAUAAAUUAAUUUGUUUUGUCAACUAAUUAUAAACAACAUCAUGUUAACGUGAAUUUUGGUUCACCUACACUCAUUCUGACAUUUUCACCAUAAAUAUUUUACAUGCAAUUGUCUUUGUCGUUGAUCAUGGACGGGUUUGGUUGUGGUACACUUGUGUACAGCCCUGUAAGUUAUCAAGUACUUUGGUUUCCUAUUUUUUGCAAUAUAGAAUCUGUCAUGAUGCAUUUUCUUCUGCGGUCUUAUUUAGGUGAGUACCAGCGUCUCUGAAACUUUUUCAGAAUACAGUAAUGAGGCUGCAUUUGUUUUCAUGGCCGGCCGAUGCUGCGUGGAUCCGGUUCAACGAGGUCGUCGGCGACAUGCUGCUGGAGCGGGAGAGCAGGAUAUGAUCUCUAUGGCAAGUUGAAAAUAGUUGUUGCCUAUAGCUGAUGGUUGUGGUCCUCCAACCUGGCUAUCUCUUGUUGCAGAAUCAGCAAAGCAAAGAAAGGACUCAUUGUUGGUCUUAUUGGCCCUGAUCAUCCAUUCACAAACAAUUACUGUGUAUGGGAAGACGAAUUCAAAGUAGCACAUUUUUGCGGCUGUGAAAUGCAACAUCAUGUUUGGAUAGCUGACCAAAAAGGAUCUCCUUGAAAAACUGAAAUAUUUAUGCUAUGCUGAUUGACCUGGGAAAUGACAAUGAUAUCUUUGGGAAAGCUUUAGAAAGUAUAACUUCUGCAACAUCUGUACCUACUGCAGAUCUUGCGAGUAUUGAUCAGCUUCUGGAAACAGUACGUCGAUACCAAGAAGAUGAAUAUUCUUUUGUGUAAAAAACAUGUCCCUUUGAUUGAUUUGGGCGUGUUGCUAAACAUUGUACUGCUUCCCCAUAUGACUACCACCUCUGAUAAAUCUCCUUUUGAUUCAGUUCUAUAUUAUUGUUUGUUUCCAAGUAUUUCUCACUCAGGUUUCUGAUAAAUGUAGUAGAUGUCGGCAACUGCAAUGCAGAACAGAUGAGUGGUGUAAGGAGGUGUUGCAGUGGGACAUUGCAACUGCUCCCAGAUCAAUUCAAACUCCAUUUGAAUGUUUUAGUUCAUCAAUGCUUUUGAUUAUAUUUUUUACAUAGUAAUGGGGUUACACUUAUUCUCGAGGCCCUAUUAAAGAGUAUUCUGAAUUGUAUUCAUUGCUUCAUGUACCUAUUUAUAUGUCUUAUGAGUAUUCUGAAUUGUAUUAUGUAUUGUACGUUAACAAAUACGGCAACAUGAUUAGCCUGCCUUGGUCUGCUUGCUAUGUAUAUAUAAAUGCUAUAAUGAUCAAUUUCUCAUCGGUGCA